CACUUGUUUUCAUCCCAUACCAAAUCCAUGUUAACAUCUAACGAUCCACAUGUUAGAUGUUAACAUGGGUUUGGUAUGGGAUGAAAACAAGUGC